rnacentral:rRNA from 1 species
UACAGAGGUCCCAAGCGUUGUUCGGAUUUACUGGGCGUAAAGGGCGCGCAGGCGGCGAUUUUUGUCAGGCGUGAAAGCCCCGGGCUCAACCUGGGAACUGCGUUUGAUACGGGAUUGCUAGAGAUCGGGAGAGGAGAGUGGAAUUCCCAGUGUAGAGGUGAAAUUCGUAGAUAUUGGGAAGAACACCAGUGGCGAAGGCGGCUCUCUGGACCGAUACUGACGCUGAGGCGCGAAAGCGUGGGGAGCAAACAGG